UGGGGAAUAUUGCACAAUGGGCGCAAGCCUGAUGCAGCGACGCCGCGUGAGGGAUGACGGCCUUCGGGUUGUAAACCUCCUUCAAUAGGGACGAAGCGCAAGUGACGGUACCUAUAGAAGAAGGACCGGCCAACUACGUGCCAGCAGCCGCGGUAAUACGUAGGGUCCGAGCGUUGUCCGGAAUUACUGGGCGUAAAGAGCUCGUAGGUGGUUUGUCGCGUUGUUCGUGAAAACUCACAGCUUAACUGUGGGCGUGCGGGCGAUACGGGCAGACUAGAGUACUGCAGGGGAGACUGGAAUUCCUGGUGUAGCGGUGGAAUGCGCAGAUAUCAGGAGGAACACCGGUGGCGAAGGCGGGUCUCUGGGCAGUAACUGACGCUGAGGAGCGAAAGCGUGGGGAGCGAACAGGAUUAGAUACCCUGGUAGUCCACGCCGUAAACGGUGGGGUACUAGGUGUGGGUUUUCCUUCCUUGGGAUCCGUGCCGUAGCUAACGCAUUAAGUACCCCGCCUGGGGAGUACGGCCGCAAGGCUAAAACUCAAAGGAAUUGACGGGGUCAUAGCUGUUUUCCU
rnacentral:rRNA from 1 species